CGCGGCCUAUCAGCUUGUUGGUGAGGUAAUGGCUCACCAAGGCGACGACGGGUAGCCGGCCUGAGAGGGCGACCGGCCACACUGGGACUGAGACACGGCCCAGACUCCUACGGGAGGCAGCAGUGGGGAAUAUUGCACAAUGGGCGAAAGCCUGAUGCAGCGACGCCGCGUGAGGGAUGACGGCCUUCGGGUUGUAAACCUCUUUCAGCAGGGAAGAAGCGAAAGUGACGGUACCUGCAGAAGAAGCACCGGCUAACUACGUGCCAGCAGCCGCGGUAAUACGUAGGGUGCGAGCGUUGUCCGGAAUUAUUGGGCGUAAAGAGCUUGUAGGCGGUUCGUCGCGUCUGCUGUGAAAAUCCGGGGCUCAACCCCGGACUUGCAGUGGGUACGGGCAGACUAGAGUGUGGUAGGGGAGACUGGAAUUCCUGGUGUAGCGGUGAAAUGCGCAGAUAUCAGGAGGAACACCGAUGGCGAAGGCAGGUCUCUGGGCCACUACUGACGCUGAGAAGCGAAAGCAUGGGGAGCGAACAGGAUUAGAUACCCUGGUAGUCCAUGCCGUAAACGUUGGGCGCUAGGUGUGGGACUCAUUCCACGAGUUCCGUGCCGCAGCUAACGCAUUAAGCGCCCCGCCUGGGGAGUACGG
rnacentral:rRNA from 1 species